UACGUAGGGUCCGAGCGUUGUCCGGAAUUAUUGGGCGUAAAGAGCUUGUAGGCGGUUUGUCGCGUCUGCUGUGAAAUUUCGGGGCUCAACCCCGAACUUGCAGUGGGUACGGGCAGACUAGAGUGUGGUAGGGGAGACUGGAAUUCCUGGUGUAGCGGUGAAAUGCGUAGAGAUCCGGAGGAACACCGAAGGCGAAGGCAGUGUCCUGGCGAGUAUCCUGACGCUGAGGUGCGAAAGCCAGGGGAGCGAACGGG
rnacentral:rRNA from 1 species